CGCAGCGAAAUGCGAUAAGUAAUGUGAAUUGCAGAAUUCAGUGAAUCAUCGAAUCUUUGAACGCACAUUGCGCCCUUUGGUAUUCCGAGGGGCAUGCCUGUCCGAGCGUCAUUACACCACUCAAGCCCGGCUUGGUGUUGGGUCCUCGUC
rnacentral:rRNA from 1 species